UUUUUUGUGUGUGCAAAAAACAAAGAAUAUGCUGCUUGAGGCCAACAAAAAACAUGAAACUUGUUUUUUUUUCAUACAUUCAACAAAAUGACACAAACAUCAAAAUCCUACCCAAGUAUGUUGCUUAUUUCCAGAGGUGGGCAUCGUCAGUCCGUCAGUAUUUCAGGCCGGCCCUCAUGGACCUAUUCAUCGGCGGCGACAGCCAAUUGGACAUUGAGAUUCCUUCUCAACAACAUCCUCCGUUCGAUUGAGGUCCUCUUCGCCGUAGCCGAACACAAGCCCGCCUGUUCCUGCGGCAUCAUGCUCCUCUUCUGCUGGACAGGAACGGACAACAUAAGAACAACAACAAUCGGUCAAAGGAGGGAAGCUGACAUAAAGCAGAGCUGUCCAACGCAAAUAUAAGCAGCAACAAAGUCACGCUCCAGUACUUCAGGUUAACAGACAAAGGUCCAUGGCUUGGCGUUGAUACUACACACUGUAUUCACGCAACAGGAUGACGUAAUCAGCGGCGCGCCUGAAUGGAGUGCUUCUUCUUCUUCAGAGUCCCCUCUCCUGCCGCUGGGUUACAGCAGCAUCCGUACAACAGAGCAAAGACAAUCAGCGAUAGUGCUCCCAGUACAAACACCACCAUGACCACGAAACCCCCCAGCACCCAUGGCUCUUGAUGCAAACGAAAGAGGAACCAUCCUAUCCAGUCGUCGGGUUGCUGCUUUCCUGGAAACCAUGACGACGAACGCAAGGGCGAGCAGCCCAAUCACCGUCGCUAAGCCGAUCAGGACCUCCGUUUGAGUGUUGUUCUUGUCAGCUGGAAGGACAGCAAAUAGUGACGGUCGGCCAUGAGGAUGAUGGGAAGGAGUCGCGAAUGUGAGCUGUAAUGCAGUCGAGCCGGUACGUCCUCUUUUUUAUACACAUGAAGGUUGGGAGUUUCAAUAUCCCGGUCAUAAUCCCAGCGGAAACCAUCGAAGGAGAUGAGCAGCAGUUUCUUCCUGGGAGACCCGCUGAAGACAGUAUGUUGCCCUGAAGUCCUCCCCGAGUCCCACGCUGGGGCAGGAGUGCAAAGGGGGAAAAAAAUACUGCAUAAUACAACACAGAGCGACAACUGGUCUGCAGGCGGGUCAGCCAACCGUAGCCCACUCCCCCCACUUCAGCACGGAGAAAACUCAUCUACAUCUCCCUACCGGGACGCGUGCACUUCUAUGCACACGCGUGGGUAUGUGCACACACACCAAGCCACCCGCCCAUCCACACACAGUACCAACACUACCGAUGGAAUUACUACAGACAACGUUGUUCCUCACAAGCGCGAGUUUCUUCCCAUUCAUCAUCUUUGCGUUGGAAAAGUACCAAGAUGGGCCCAAAACAGCCCAUUAAUAUAAGUAGUCACAUUUGUUGUAAAUGAUGCGUUAGAUGCACUGAACUCAAAAACUAGAGCAGAUUUUAUGAGAGGCUAGAGGAUGAUUUAUUCCCAAAACUCCCUUUAAUGAAUGCACACCCCAUUUCUAUGUUUAGGAUUUUGCUUUUAAUUAAGAAAAUAUUUCUAAAAUUUUUUUUCCCCACGUGCUUUGAAAAACAAACCCUGACCGUUGAGAAAUGGUGAAGAAAACUCCUGCCAAAAUGUACCUUCUUCCCAUUUCAGUAAUUAUUUACUCUAUUCAUUUUUUCAUGGAUUAAUAACAUCCGAGGGUCCCUUUCUGCUGCAAGCAGCUCUGUCUCAUAGUUAUGGGAAAGAGAGGGCUAAUUACCUGAAAUGUGAAGACAGAACAUGGUCGAGAUCUGAUGAGCUGCUGCUCAUUAGUGUGAAUAAAAAUCGUAUGGAUAUUUUCCGGUUCAUAUGAAAACGAGCUGUCACAUGGUCUCAAACCAAACACAAAAAAAGCAAACGUUGAAAACAACCGUGUCCAUUAGUGGAGCUGGGGUGAUAUGGAAAAAUCAACCAUUAUUUUUAAUAUAUCAGCAAAAUAAUGACUGGUGGCGGUUGGCUGCAAGUGUAGUUAAAAAAAAGUUUAUUCUGGCACAUUCUGAACAUUUGUGACCACGCCGUUGUAUUACAGACCUUACCGUAUUGUGUCUCAUAUAAUUCCAUGUCGCACUUUUUAUUAUGCAUGUUAAAAAUCACAAUAUUUGUGGAAUCAUUCAAUUUACAGAGGCCAUGCUUUGUUUCGUUUGUGAGUCCUGAUUAUGUUUGUUGUCAAAAUCAUUUUCAAGUUUGUGUGUUUUUGUGCAAUUAUUUCAAGAAAUUGAAGGCCAUUGAUCAGAGUCGCUACUGUUGGAGUACUUUGAGGGGUUUUUUUUCCACGCUGGCUAGAUGAGCCAGAUGAAUGAGGGUCCGUAUAUGCCCUCAUCAAUUCAUUUAUGCUCAGACACACAUUGGGGAGGGAAGGUGGGAAAUAU